AACACCCCACCCAUCGUCUUUUUUGUGUGUGUAGAUGUUCGCUUACUGCAAAAAUGCUCUCUUGUUUCUGUACAGUCUUCCAACUUGCAUUUCGGCACUGAUACACUCGUCUCCUGAUUUCCGGAUACUCUUCUCCCAAAGGGGUCUUCUGCUAAUUCUUCUCCCAAAUUUUAUUUUCAACUUGUUUUUCUUUAAUUUUUCUCUUUGUCCAAACAAAACAAUCAACAGACCCUAAUUUGAAAUGACUAGCACUAAAAAUAAAAGAAAAGAAAAUGAAAUUUUGAAUUUUGUUUUAUGUUGUCUUGGUUUCCCUCACCUCAACUAGGUCAAAUAGUUUUACUAGGGUUAGUCGACGGUGUCAGAUAAUGAAAACUUUACUAGUUAAGUACGCGAUGCACUUUCCGUGCGUUUUCUCCGCGACCAAACAGAGCAUUUUUUAAUGUUCUGUCUUUUCUUUUUCGUGUUUAUUUAUACUCUUAUGUAGUGUUCCCAUAUCUCUAUGUGUAGUAGCUGUGCAAAUUAUAUUAGUGCAUUGCACGAGGGUUCUACAAAAUGAGGGAAAAGAAUAAGAGAGGCUAAUUGGCAUUUCAUCGAACAUCUAGAACACAUAUUUUACACCAUACACGCACAAUUGUUCAUUUAUGUCUAUGAUGUAACUGUAACCACGCAUUGCUUGUUAUAGAAUUCCCUCUUUCUUAGAAUUCAUGAAUACAAUAUUAUGCUUUGAUAUCACUUGGAAAUAUUCUGCAGACGCAUUUUAUACCCUUGGCAUGUACUGGAAUUUAUGCUUUAUCUAUUUAUUGUUUAGAAUAAUCUGUCACUGAAUGACUAGGUGGUUCUAACUUCUAACUUUACCCUUUUUUCUUAUUCAUUUGAUUUCGAUGAUUAUUCUUUUAGCCUUUUGAUUUAUAGGUUUAAUCAACAAAGAAGCAGUUUUAGACAUAGUGGGCAGUACACACUUUAAGUGCAGACUUACCAGAGCAAAAGAAUCUCCCUCCCCAGGACCUUCUUCAUUGAUAAGGGAACCUCACAAAUACUUCGAUCAGGUAAUCAUUACUGUUUGUUCUGGAGAUGGAGGCCAUGGUGCAAUUCUUAGCAUGCUUAACCAGAGAGCUCCUUCAGGGCCACAAGGAAGACUUGAUAAGGGUAAAAUGAGGAAGAAAAGUUUGCAUAAGAGGGAUUUUGAUGGUUCACUUAUCCUUCCUAUGGGUGGACAUGGGGGGAUGUGAUAAUUUACGCAGAUGAGGGCGACGAUUCAUUACUGGAGUUUCACAAGAAGAGUCGGUACAAUGCAAAGCGUGGGGGAAAUGUUGAUGCCAUGGGCGUUUUAACAUCCCAGUUGCAUGAUGGACUUGCUGCACCGACAUUGCGUAAUCCUGUGCCUGUAGGCACAGUUGUAAAGCGUAAGCGAGGGAAGCUUCAGGCAGAUCUAGCAGAACCAGGCGAUGAAAUUCUCAUGGCAAUGGGUAGGCAAGGAGGUUCUUGUAGUUGAUUGAAUGGCAUUCUGGAAGGUUUUAAUUUACUGGAUUUUGGAAAAUAAGAUCUUUAGUUGAGAUUAGCUUGGUAGAAAUGCCAGAACAUAGAAGGAAAAAAUUGAUGGCUUUAACCAUAAUUGUAAUGAGAGAUGACAGCGAUAAGGACUAACAGCUGCUGGGUUAUCACUCUUUAGGGUAUUCUAUGAAUGUGAAGCACAAUCACCUCCUUUUUGUUCCCUGGGUUAGCUCGGUUGCCACGCAAUGCGCUGAGCAAUUAAAAGCGUGGGUAGCCAUAAGAUCAAAGCAAGAGCGAAAAUUGCCACCAGAGAUCCAGUCACAAUCCAUGAGCUCCCAGUGCAUGUUAACUUCCCUAACCUAAUCUGAACCAUAUGGAUCAUUGACAACGUUAGUAAGACACAACCUGCAAUAGUACCUACUGCAGCUAUUGUCAACAUCAAGCGGCUGGUCUUUUGUACAAAAUUGGUGUUGUGCUUAUUCUUAAUGACAUAGAAGUGAAGCUUCAGUGUCUUGGCUAGCAGGGUGGACAGAAGGAAGAAACUGAAUGAUAAAAUUUCAAAUACCACCAGCCUCUUUGCGAUCCCUGCAUCUGGCUUACAUUCUACUCUGGUCUCGAGAGUUUCAGUUCUGAAGGAAAAUGGUAAUCCGAUGAAGACCGCUGAUGUGAAGAGCGCGUUCACAUUAAUAAUGUUGUCUAAUACUUUCUUGUAAACGGCUAGCAUUUCAGUUCUUGUUGCCCUUGAACGCCACAGAGUUAUAGGAAGAAAAGAUCAGUGCCUAAUAAAACUCUUGACACAUGUAAGAAGAAAAAAAAAUGAGAUGGAAGAUAGAUAUACUUAUCCUCCAUGACAGAUAUUAUGAUGCUUCUUCUUCUUCUUCUUCUUCUUCUAUUGGUUGAGCACAAUGUGUGUAGCAGCAGGUUUUGGAUUAUAAAGAGGGUCUAGUCCAAUGACCACCACA